rnacentral:lncRNA from 1 species
CCCGGCCUGAGAGGCGUCGUGGGUCUCUUGCAAUUGCGGCUCCUUUGCAUCAGGCCGCGGCGGGAGGCGGGGAAGAUGGCGGGGCGCAAGAAGAAGCUGGCGGGCGAAGGGAACGAAAGCCGGGCCCUCCCGCAGGAAGCCCAGCAGCCGAAGGGAAGGCCCGGAGGCCUUGCCCGUGAAGGGUAUAUGCAGGGGCGCAGGGCACAGACCCAAGGGAUAACUUGUUUGCUUACAAAAAAUGGCCUGUGAUGAAAUUGUUUUUGCAGAAGUGAUUCUGCUGAAUGAGAGAAAUGUAGUGUCUGAAGCAGCAGCUCUUCCGUUAGAAAACAAUGAAAGAAAACGCCAUAUUGGUAAAGUGACUUGUGGCUGACUUCACUGAAGAAUAAUCUUGUGAUGUCUAAUUUAUCCUGAAAAUAUCUGGCUUCAACUUCAUACUUGACCAUGAAUUUUUCUGAGUAUUUGCCUUGUGCCCUAGAGCUACGAGGAAAAAAUACUGGAUUUUAUUCAUAGAUAAAAUGGACUUGGAUCCACUGUUGGGGCAGAUCAUACAGGGAAGAAGAAAGAAGGCAGAGGACCAACUUUAUGGCACACUACCAUACAUCAAAAACAUUUCACAAACAGUAGAAUGCAAGCAGGCAUUGCACACCGCCCAAAGGCUACCAUAUGAGGACAGAUCAUGCAUUGUAAAGAUCAGUUGAAGGGGGAGAUAUUUCCAAUGUAAUCUACCAGAUCCCCUCUGGUAGGGCAGAUGGGGAGGAAGCUAACUACUAGAUUGCAAGAACAUAAGUAAGUGGUCAGACACGGAGAUCCAAACUCAUUGGGAGUCUCACAUUGCAAUGAACAAGGACAUAAAUUGAAUUUUAUACCAUUAAGAUUGUUGGCUGAGCAGUACAAAAAUAGUGAAAUUAUUGAAGCCUGGGAAAUGGAUCCCUAGUCAGUCAAAAGGAGUGCCAAUUUAUCAGCUUAUUAGGCACUUAGAUGAAGAACAAGGACUUGGCAAUAGAAGGAAACAAAAUCAAUUUAAUGCCCCAAUCAACAAUCAAUGCCACACACAACCAGGCACCACAUAAAUACUAUGCAUCUAAUAGCCCAUUCUGGUGAGAGGGAAGUUCCCCGAGGAUGGACUCCAUCAGGAGUCUCUAAACCUGGAAGACUAAUCUGGUCCUGGUGAUUGACCCAGUUUGGAUCAUGUAUUCUACAUAGUUUUAUACUGCUUUUUAUUAAUAAUGUUCACAUAUUGUUUCUUGGCUGCCCAGUUAAGAUGAACAGCUGUAUGAUUUUCUGAAAUAAACAAAUCUCUAGUUCUACUCUCA